UGCUAUGAGAGGUUGAUGGAUUAAUU
rnacentral:piRNA from 1 species